UUAAAUUUUCAACGAUGGAUAUCUAGGCUCCUAUACCGAUGAAGAACGCAGCGAAAUGCGAUACGCAAUGCGAAUUGCAGAACCGCGAGUCAUCAGAUCUUUGAACGCAAGUGGCG
rnacentral:rRNA from 1 species